AGGGACCUUAAAACUCAUCUUGUUCCAACUCCCCUGCCAUGGGCAGGGAUGCCUUCCACUGGACAGAGAUACUCAAUGUUAUGCAUUGCUAGCUACCUUUUUCCAUGUAAUACCAAUAAAUAUGGGUGUUUGUGUGUGGAUAAGUAAUAUGUAAAGUGAUAGGACAUGUCUUAUCUGUGCAUUCACAUCAGGCUCCAUCCCAGUGGUGAAAAUCCUUGUGGAGCCCGUGCAAACUCCUUACCUGUCACAGAAGGUCCAAGGCAGCAGCAGCACAGCAGGACAGAGCCGGAGGUGGAGGCUUGUGACUUGAUGUCAGCUUCUGAUGGCAACGAGCAAAACAUGGCACAAAUCAGCGCUUGGGAUGACCAGCAUUUCGAUUUGUUGCUGAUUCUGCGUGAAGAUACUGCUUCCAUCAGCAUGUCUUAAUAUACUAAACUUGUCCCCUAAGCCCAUCCUCUGCAGCUUGGUGCUACGGUAGGUAAACAAAAGUGACUUUACAUUGGCGGGACUACAAGCCCGGACAUGGCUAAAAGAGAAAAGAGAAGAAAAAGGAGCUGUUAUUGUCACAACUGGGGGAAGGCACAGCUGGUUCAAAGCCAUCACGAUGCUCAAACAGAGGAUGCAGAGCCAGGUUCCUCCACAUCACCCUUGGACCAAGGGACCGUGGACACGCACCUCUCAUAGCAAAACAAAGGGAUUCUCCUUGGGAAAGGAGGCUCUGAGCAGGAUUUUGAGGGAAGGGCACCCUGAUUCCUGUGCUCAACUCUCCAGGCUCCCGACAACACUCCUGACCAUAACACCAUUCCUUGGGGACAUCCCCUCUAACCAUCACUUCAUGCCCAGACCUGCACCUGGGCAGAAAACCUCCUUUUCCACGAUUCUACUUUAUGAUAAAAGCAGGACUGAGCAGCCAAGAACUCUCCAAGACCAAAGCCAAGGACCCUACACCUCCUCCCAACUCUGGAGCUCAAAUGCCAUAAAAACACAGUGACAGGACCCGAGGGAAUGGCCUGAAGUUGUGUCAGGGCAGGUUUAGGUUGGAUGUCAGGAGAAAGUUCUUCCCCCAGAGGGUGGUUGGGCACUGAACAGGCUCCUCAGAUCAGUGGUCACAGCAUCAAGGCUGACAGAGCUCAAGGAGCGUUUGGAUGAUACCCUCAGGCACAGGGUCUGACUCUUGGGGAUGGUCCUGUGCAGAGCCAGGAGUUGGACUCGAUGAUCCUUGUGAAUUCUUUCCAAUUCAGCAUAUUCUGUGAUUCUGUGAUUCUAUCAGUAGCCCAGACCAGCCAUAUCCAGAGUUUUUUACCAGAUAAAGACUGAUAUGCCAACAACCACUGUUUUUUUUCCUAGUUAACUCUUUGGUAGAAACAUAAUUUAGACAGUCUUUAAUUUUAGUGUUGUUUAAUUUUUGCCGUAGUGAUAUUUCUCAUUAAUUUAUGUACAACAGAUAUUAAUAAAUUUGUUCGUGUAGUGAUGUGAACUUCAAUUUCUCAGUUCAUUAAUUUCAACAAUAUUAAUUUAUUUCUGAUUCGCUGUUACAGCUUUACGGUUUGGAAGAGCUGGGUCCAUACACAUUUCAUAGGUGACACAACUUCCUGCAGCAGCACGGUCUGCACCAUCAGCGCUGCUCCAACAGAUCCACCCAGAGCCCUGAGCAGUCCUGGUCCUUCUGGCACCAUUUUUGGGAAGGAUUUGGAUGGGACGUUCUCUAAAGCACAGCUCAAGUGAUGCCCUUGAAACAGGUUGAAGUUUUCCAACUCUACCAAUUUUUCCCCAAUUACAUGUAACAAAUAUGUUGAAAUUGAAGUUAUAAUUUUGCAUUUUUUAUAAUACUGAAUGUUUUAAAGCUAAACAGCAACUGAACUUACAAAAUUUAACUGGAGAAUAAUGUAUAUAUUGGCAGAGACCCUUCUGAUCCUAAACAUUUAGUUUCUUUAUAAUGUUUUCACAGAAUCCAAGAAUCACUGACGUUGGAAAAGCCCUCCCAGCCCAUCGAGUCCACCCUGUGCCUGAUGCCCACCUUGUCACCCAGCCCAGAGCACUGAGUGCCACAUCCAGUCCUUCCUUGGACACCUCCAGGGAUGAGGACUCCACCACCUCCCUGGGCAGCCCCUUCCAGUGCCUGACCACCUUUUAAAGAACCCUUAAAACAACCCUUCACUAAAUCUCUGUUCCACACUGCAUCAGCCCGGGCCAGCAGAUGACCUUGCCCUGUGUUUGGACCUGCCAAACCCCUUUUCUCAGGUUGGCUUCUCCAAUGGGAUUCAGUCAGCAGGAAACCUGUCACCACAUCAGUCUGGUUACCUGGUGUGCACUUGAACUGGAGGAUGCUGGAGAUCAUCUUGAGAUGUUAUCAUAGACUCACAGAAUGAUUAAGGCUAGAAAAGACCUUCAAGAUCAUUCAAUCCACCCAUCAACCAGCACCACCACCAUGUUCACCACUCAACCAUGUGCUCCAAGUCCAUGCUGCAAUAGCACCAUCAGCUUCUCCAUCCCUGGAAAUGUCCAAGGCCAGGUUGGACAGGGCUUGGAGCAACCUGGAAUAGUGGAAGGUGUCCCUGCUCAUGGCAGGGGGUGGGACUGGAUGGUCUUUAAGGUCUCUUCUAACCCAAACCACUCUAGGAUUCUAUGAUUCUACUGUGUGAAAAAUUAGAUUAUCUGCUGCAUGCUUUUUUUUUUUUUUUGGGGGGGGGCGUGGGGAGGAAGUCUAAAUUUUUUAAUUUAACUAUUUUUGUUGAAUUCUCCCUGUGGCACAAUGGGAGGGGGGUGUAAGGUUGGUGCUCCAGACAUUUAUUUCACUGUUCUUUUAGUGGCAGCAUUUGACAAUUGUGAAUUUCUGCGCUGCGCUUCCUGCUGUGCAAAUUGAUACCAAAUGCCUUCUUAAAGAAAAAUGAGCUGGCUAGUUUUUUAAUAAUAAUUUUAAUACUUUCAUCCAGGGAAAGACCAGAAAAUUAAGCAGGAUGCAAUUUUAAAAGAAUAUAGAGACCCCUGUGCUCUGCAUUACAGUCCUAUAACCAGAGAGCAAUAUCUUUCACAAUCUAUAGAAAGUAAAUUACAAUUGAAAACCAAAUUUUGAACAUAUAUUGUACUUCCAACUUCGCAGGGAGCCAGCAAUUUCUCACUAAAAAAAAAAUAUUUUAUAUCUUAAAUGUCCAUUGUUUUAAACAGGAAAAGGCUCUCUGCCCAAAGGAACACAUACAGUAGGAUCCUGCUCUUAAAAAAGUAUGUGAGUACUUAACUUUGUGAUCAUAGAUUAUGCAAUGGAGGCCAUAUGGAGUCAACAAGAUUGUGGCUUUUUGGAUAUGGCCCAAAGGUCCUUUUUUGUAGACUUAGUCACAGGAGUGAGUCAUGGCCACGGGACAACAGAGAGAGAGGUUUCUCCUCUGUGAUUUGCAGCUUCCGAGUGUUGACCCUGAUCAGGUACCGGCUGGCUGGGGAUGGAUGUGCAGCUGACAUGGGUGCAGCAAGGGGGAAGACAACACAUCAGCCCUGGCUGUCAUGGCCUGCACCCUGACCCCUCUGAGAUCUCCCCAGAUUGUCUUCUUUUUUAUUUGUUUUUAUUCAUAACCUCUGUCUUUGUAAAAUCACAGACUGGUUUGGGUUGGAAGGGACCUUAAAGACCAUCUCAUUCCAACCCCCUGGCAUGAGCAGGGACACCUUCCACUAGCAGGUGUCUUGGAUCUCUUUAGAAAAAAAUCUGUUGGCUAAAGGCCAUGUUCCCUCUUGGGCAGUAGGUCCUACAGUGCAGUGGGUUUUGGGGUCGUGCUUCCUGGCAGCAAGAUCUUGCUUCUAGUGCGGAGGGCUCAGGUGGUCCUGAUGCUUCGGGUGAUGUUAGCAUAAGCCAGGAGGUAGAGCAGCUCAACCUCUGCUUUAUACUUUGUUAGGAGACAAAAAUAUCUCCCUCAGAUCCAGGUGGAGCUUCAUAGCUCUGCUCCUGUGUUCUUACCAUCUUAGGCGUACCAAGAACAGCAUUUUUCCCACACAUAGACACAUCCUGGGAGGGUUUACCCAGCAAAGAUCAGUGCAAUUAACCCCCAAAUCCCUGCAAAAGGACCACCUGUGUCUACAUUCUUAUCCAUUCUUAUCCAUGUCCUGCCUUAUCCAUAAACUGAAGGAUUUACCUCCAAUACAACAACAGUGACCACAAGCUCUUCCUUCCCUUUUGGGUUGACUAAAUGUGUGUGACCAUUUCUAACAGUGCAGACUCUUCAGCUGCCACUCAGCUCCUUUACAUCCUGCUCUGUAAUGAGACUGUACUUCAAGAUCACAAAAAAAACUUCUGCUGCAUUGGACUGCAGCUCUUAAAUUCCAAAUUUUAACUUAAUAUAGAAAAUGUGCUGAUCAGAUAACUCUCAAGCUGUUUGCACAGUGUCCAGAAAGAAACUUUAAAAAGAGCUCAAUGUCCAUAAAUGACUAAGAAAAUAGGAAGAAAAAAUAGAAAUUCCCAAAACAACUGUAUGGGUCAAAUGCAGUAUAAAUAAGUGCCAACACAGGAGUGUUGGUGGCUUUUCUUUAUAUCUCAUGAAGGAAGGAGAUGACAAAUUCAUCCCUGUCUUGCCACUCAGUUCUGGCAGCAGUUCAGUUCAAGGCAGUGGUUGAAAUCUGUGAGGACAGCUGGGGGAAGUGUUGUCGACCUGAAACCUUUUGUGAGUUCAGUCUGAAUUAACUCAAUAGUUUUGGUUGGGAGAAGUGAUGUUGCCUCUGCUUUGAAAGAACCUGAGUGAGGUGAGGUGGUGGUGAGGCCCUGGCACAGGCUGCCCAGAGAAGCUGUGGCUGCCCCAUCCCUGGAAGUGUCCAAGGACAGGUUGGACAGGGCUUGGAGCAACCUGGGAUAGUGGAAAGCAUCUCUGCCCUAAGUUGGAACUAGAUGGUCUUUAAGGUCCCUUCCAACCCUACCUAUCCCAGGAUUCUAUGAUGCUCUGUAAGUUCCUGAAUUCCUCACAAUUCACUGAGCAUCACUUUGUGGUGCUACUUUGCAUAAACAAUUCAACUUUUUGUCACAACCCUGCUCUAGUUACCACAACUCACUGCUCUAAUUACCAGACCAGAAGAACAUUCUCCCUAUUUCUCUGUGUCAUUCUGCUCAACACAAAAUUAUUCCAUUCAGCCAGUCGAGGAAAAAAUGGCAAUUGUUUGUUUUCUUGCUUGUUUUCAACACUUCUAUUUAUUUUCAGUUUGGCUGCUGAACCAAAAUCCAAAAGGAUGACACCAGGUCUGCUGUUUGGAUUGCAGCAUCCUAAAAUCAGGGAUUAGUGGCAUUGUUAAGUCUUCACUGGGCUGUCUGGCCAUGGAAAAAGCUUAGUCCAGAGAAAGGCUGGGCUCAGCCUAAGAGUUAAAUUGAUGACCUAGUUAACAAAAUCAGUAUUGGCUGUUUCAAAGCCAUUUUCUGAGCUUUAUGUAUGAAGCAUUUUGCGCUUGAGGCUGGAGAUGUACAAUUUUUAAAGGCUUGGGGAGGUGCCCAAGGGACAUUAGGUGCUUGGUGCAGGCAUUCAGCCCACCCUGUUCUCCUUAAAACUACACUUUGCAGGAAUCUAGUGCUUUUAAGCACCUAAACCCUUGCCUAUCUGAUGAGAAACCCUGUAUUUACAUACUGAAAUUACAGAAAUUCAGAUCAUUUUAGUUUAGAUGUUUAAAUAGUUGUAUUUUUCAGAGUAAAUCACAAUCAACAUGUUAAUAUGAAUACAUAUAUAAAUAUCUGCUACAGAGCAGUUGCCUCAGAUCUGUCAUGUUACCACAUUUAUAAUAUUUUAAUUGUUUAUUUUAUUAAUUUUAUUUUUUUUAUUUCUAUGAUUUUAAUUUAUUAUUUUAUUUUUAAGAUUUUAUUUUUCAUUAUAUUAUUUCAGUAUUUACUUUUCAUAGUAGUGUCUUUUUAUAAAAAGAGGAAAGUAGGACACUGGAUUAUUUUAUUAAUGGAUUAUUCUUUCUAAGAAUAUCAAUAUAGUUUUCUCCUUACAGUAGUAACAUAGUGAAGCUUCCAGUAAAGAAAUAUGAAAGAAACUGUUAAUCUAAUUAUCCUUUUCUUUAACAUUCAUCCCACAAUAAUUUUGCGUAGCUGAAUCCUCAGCUCUUCCUUGACCUGAGUGCAUAACAAGCUCUCAUAUGCUUUUUUGGGCCAAGAAGUGAAUAACAAGCUACAGAAACAUUAGUUUUGAGAUCUUGGUGGUGGACAGACAGUUCUGUGGGAUUGGGAUUAUGUCUCUCCGAAGUGCCUUCAAAUCCCACAAAAUGCAGGUGUUCAGAAUUUGUUUGGCAAAUUAAAAUAUCUGUCAUCUGUUUGCCUGUGAGUGCUCAUUGUAUCACGGGUGUCAUGGUAAUACAAAGAAUAAAUAACACUGUACUGCUAAUUCUUAACUGAGGAAGUCAAGAGGAGUGAUGACCUCCGGGGUAUGAGUGUCCUCAAGCCUUCCUGAUUUCAAUGGGAUCUGAAGUGCUCCAAUUUACUGCACAAUGAGACUCAACCAGAGGCAAACAUUCAAAUUAUUCUAAUCCAUCUAUAGUCUUAUCUUCUGAAUGUUACAAUAUGACUUAAAAGUGAUACAAUAGGACCUAAGUCUUCCUUUUUGGGAAGACUUUGUUCAUAUUUUUGUUCUUCUACCAAACAUACACUGUAUUGUAAUUCCUCCUGCCCCACUCCCAGCAGAUAACCAUGAGAGUUCUGCAAGUGGUUUAUAAGUUGUUCCUUGCACUACCCACACAAAAUCACAUGGAUUAAAAAGGAAAAAAAAAAUAUCAAAAAAGCAAAUUAUUAAAAUUGCCUGCCUUAAAUUAAAUAUUCAGUUCACUUAGGGAUGUAACCACUCUAGCACCACAGUAUGAGAGCGAGCUGGGACCACCAGAGCAUGCAAACCCCCUGCAUACAGAGCUACCUAGUCCAGAGGAAGGUUAGUUCACUGACUGAGAGCUUAACCUGAUUUAUAUUAACUUGACAUAUUUGAAAUCACUAUUGCACCCUAUGUAAAACAAGGAAAUCACACCAUGUCCUGCCGGAACGCUGCUGGAUUUAAACAUCCACAGAAAUGUGUUCAAAAAACAUAUAAACACACGGAUUACAUGAACCCUCCAAGAGGCAUUCAGGGAUACAGUAUUCCUUUAAAAUUUAAGUCACGAACUCCUAAGGGAAAAUACCAGAAAAACAGCUAGUGCUUUCUCUAAUGCAAGUAUUAAAAAUGAACUAAAGAUCUCAGCAGACCAUUCGUGCUACCCUAUUUCUCCCCCUGCUUCUGCAUCGCUACGAGAGCACCAGGAACCCAAAAAAAAAUUAGCCAGGUACCUUUCUCCCAAAGAAACCAUCAGGGCUUGAGUGUAUGCAUCAAAAAAAAAAAAAAAAAAAGGCAAUACACAGAAAA